rnacentral:rRNA from 1 species
GGUUGCGAUCAUACCAGCACUAAUGCACCGGAUCCCAUCAGAACUCCGCAGUUAAGCGUGCUUGAGCGAGAGUAGUACUAGGACGGGUGACCCCCUGGGAAGUCCUCGUGUUGCAACCCC